rnacentral:rRNA from 1 species
GACGAACGCUGGCGGCGCGCUUCACACAUGCAAGUCGAGCGAAGCGGCGGACGGGUGAGUAACACGUGAGUAACCUGCCUUAGACAUUGGGAUAGCCUCGGGAACCCGGGAUUAAUACCAAAUGGUCUAAGAUGGCCUCGCGUCCCAUUAGCUAGUUGGUGAGGUCACGGCCCACCAAGGCGACGAUGGGUAGCCGGCCUGUGAGGGUGAACGGCCACAUUGGAACUGAGAAACGGUCCAAACUCUACGGGAGGCAGCAGUGGGGAAUAUUGCACAAUGGAGGGAACUCUGAUGCAGCGACGCCGCGUGAACGAAGAAGGCUGUCGAGUCGUAAAGUUCUUUUAUAUGGGAAGCGGUACCAUAAGAAAAAGCCCCGGCUAACUACGUGCCAGCAGCCGCGGUAAUUC